GACGUCGUGUUGUCGCGAGGAGGCCGGGCGAGGGAGUGUUUUCGUCGUUCUCGACGCCGUGCCGGAAUUGGAGUCGCUGGUUGAGACUCUGAAGUGCUGAUUGCUGAUUCCAGCAUCGACCCGCCGUGUUUUACCUAGUUCUCUGUGUAGGAGUGUCGAAACGCGACGAAAUUUGACGUGCUAGAUUCGCGACUUCGAGACGAAGAUUCUGAGCCCAAGAUCGUGAUUUUUGGAGCAGGUUCCAGCGUCGACGUUUCGUAUUCUGGCCCGUUCUCUGCGUAGGAGCGUCGGAAUUCAGCGAAACCUGGGCCAUUGGAUUCGUGACUUCGAGACGAAGCUUCAGGAUCCUUGUUUGCUGAAUUUGGAUAAGGUUAGCUUGGUCGGAUUUAACGCUUUCUUCGCUGCUAGGAGUUGCUUGAGAGAGCCACAGGUGCCGGCUGCUGCAUCUUCCGCCGACCAGG